rnacentral:ncRNA from 1 species
UGUCUCCUCCAUGUCUCCUCCUGAUAUGGAUUUAAGCCCGCCAAGCGCGGGCUUUUUUUU